GGAUAUUGGGGAGUCAAACCACCAUUCACAGAGUUAUUUUCAACUGGAUUCUGUUCAUGAUGUGCAGAAGUUCUAUUCUCAUUUACUUCAUGAAUACCAUCCAUAACAAUUCAAGGUGUAUGCAAUAAACAAAUCGACAAACCCCCCUACAAAGUUCCAAAAAUACAACUCUAUAAUUCAGAGAAAACAAAUCUAACUUGUAAAUAGAUUAACACUCCAUUCAUCAAACAAGAAAGUCCAAACAACAGAUCCAAUAUUACAUCACAUCUUUAUGAGAGUUGACACCAUUUAAACUGACUACAGAAAGUAUCAAAAAUUGAUCUUCCAAGUGUUGAAAAGAAUAACAAGGUUUCUUGAAUUCUCAUGCAGAUCUUCACAUAUUCAACUAAACUUAUCAAGAUUGAAGCAAACCCACAAGCAAAGUUCAUUUUUAAUUAGAAAAAACAAGAUAGUAACUAUACAAAACCGGCGAUAAAUCAAGAAAAUGACAGAACAAGAAAAAUCAAGAAAAUUAGAAACAGAUAAAAGAAAGAUUAUACCUUUAGCAAAAGCCCAAUAGAGGGAGUUCCUGGUAUAUUAAAGGAGGGGAAACUUUUUUUUUGUCUUUUGGUGAAUUUUCAAAGUGUGGGUCUGUCCAUAUAGACUAACCUUGCCGUUUGGGAGAGAAUGGGACAGAGGUGGGAUUUUACAAAAAGGCUGAGGGUAAAAAUAAGGAUUUCACAAGUGGGAAUUUUUAUGGUAAAGUUGCAGAGGUGGAAUGUCGGACGAAGGGAGGAGGGGACUUC
rnacentral:lncRNA from 1 species